GAUGAAGAACGUAGUGAAAUGCGAUAAGUGAUGCGAAACGCAACUUUUGUGAGUCAUCGAGUCUUUGAACGCACAUUGCGCCCCCUGGAAUCCCGGGGGGCAUGCCUGUCCGAGCGUCAUUUCAACCCUCAAGCACGGCUUGUGAGUUGGGCGACCGUCCCCCCAACGCCAGCCCGGAAACGGCGCGCGUAGGGGGACGCGCCCGAAACGCAGCGGGGACGCCGCGGCCGUGAAGCCUCAGCGAACGGGACAUCCAGCGCUGCACGGCGGCGGGCGGCGUCGACCUCAGGGGUGACGGCGACAUGUCGCCGGACACCGGCAACCCUCAAAGGUUGACCUCGGAUCAGGUAGGGAUACCCGCUGAACUUAAGCAUAUCAAUAAGCGGAGGA
rnacentral:misc_RNA from 1 species